rnacentral:misc_RNA from 1 species
GUGAAUCAUCAAAUCUUUGAACGCAAAUUGCACUCUCUUCGGAGCGUAUGACUGUUUGAGGGUCAGCCUAUAAAAAAUCGACAUCGUUGCUGUUUCGCGGUGGCGUUCGUCGGCAAUUGGGUCAUCCUACAUCCUUUUGAUUUAAGCGACUUAAAAUUUUCUUUUGGUUCAAUGAAUGUUUCUAAGAUCUAUUUAUUUACACGUUUAAGGUAUUGCAUUUCACUAGACGUGACGAUCAUAUCGGAUC